GGCUCAACUGCUUGAACACCGUGACUCACUCCAUUGGUAGGUGGUAUAAAUUAGUGUGGAAGACCAAUAUCCCCCUGGCAAAGGAAGUAGAAGUUUCUCAGGUUGAUUAUCUUCAGUAGCCUCUCAACCUGGAAGAGAGAAGACUUUACAGAGAAAUCAUGAAGUUGUACAGAAGAACUAGGGGCUGUUGAACUAGGAGUUGGAAUCCCAAAGGAAGUUCUUCGUGCGGCAGUAGCAGAUCUGCUGAAGUUCCAGAGGACUUCAUGGGUGCGAGAAGUCUACAUGAAUUCAAUCUCUCCAUGAGAUUGGAGG